UUGCAUAAGAGUUUGUUAUUUAUAAAAGAUACCAUUAUUUGAAAGUAUCGGUUCCAUCAGAAGUGCCUCUCUGCAUAAAAAUGUGCUCACUUGAUUAAAACAACUACUACCGAGACACUUACACAAUAAAGGAACAAGCAUAUCAAUAUACAAGCAUACAUCCAUUCAUGAGCACAUACAAGAAGAUAUGCAUACGCAUGCAAACAUAAGUCCAUCAGAAGCAUCAUUACGAGACAAAGUUCAGGGGCAAGAAUGAAGAUUCUCAGGUAUUCAUAUUAACAAGCAUAGUAUGUAUUUGCAAAAUAGUAGAACCGGGCACAAGAGUAAAUGUGAUGAUCCUUCAGAAUGCCCAUGGUUGUUUAAAGAUACUAACUAUGAAAAGUUUAUCGCUCUUAAACUACAGACUGAUGUAGAACUGAUGAAAGACAUGGGCAUGGAUGCAUACAGGUUCUCUAUAUCAUGGCCAAGGAUCUUCCCAAGUAAGAACUAAUGUUUGUUUAAUGAUCACCCCCCUUUUGUCAAUAAUCAUUAAUAUGCUAUCACAAUUUGCAGAUGGAACUGGAGAACCAAAUCCAGAAGGAAUACAACAUUAUAAUAGUGUCAUAAAUACUUUGCUAGAAAAAGGUUAUCUUUUUCUUUUCUUUUCUUUUUUCCUUUAGUUUCAUAAAGGUCAACAGUAUUAACAGUAUAGCUUAUUAUGGUCAUGUUUUUUCAUAUGAUGAUUGACUCUUCUUUCUCUGUCCAUAAGGUAUACAACCAUAUGUGACACUCUAUCACUGGGAUCUUCCUCAGGCAUUACAAGAUAGAUAUGGUGGAUGGUUGAACAAACAAAUAAUGUAAAAAAAUUGAUUUCAUAGCCAUCAUUCAGUUAUAUAUAUAGUAUAACAGGAAAAUCUCCCUAUAAUGCAGCAAGGACUUCGAUCAUUUUGCCCAUACUUGCUUCAAAGCUUUUGGAGAUAGAGUGAAGCAUUGGAUUACCUUUAAUGAGCCACACGGUCUCUCGAUUCAAGGUUACGACAAUGGAGUGCAAGCUCCAGGAAGGUGCUCUAUCCUAUCUCACUUGUUAUGUAGAGAGGGUAAAUCAUCAACUGAACCAUACAUUGUUGCUCACAACAUCCUACUAUCUCACGCUGCUGCAUUUCACACCUACAAGUGCCAUUUUAAGGUAAUCUUAAUUGCUAACCUAAAUUCCUAUUUUUGUAGUAUAAGAGGAUUAAAAGGGUGGGGAAGAAAGUAAAGGAGGUCAAUCUAUUGAUUGCAGGAAAAGCAGGGGGGGUUUAUUGGGAUUUCCUUAGAUUCCAAGUGGUAUGAAUCGAUAUCUGAUGCUGAUGAAGACAUUGAUGCAGCUCAAAGAGCAAUGGAUUUUGAACUUGGAUGGUAUUCACUAAUUCCGUUAGAUAGAAACAGCAAGAAAUAUUUUGUUCAUUGUGAAAUUUACUGAUAAAUCCAAAGCAGGUUCUUGGAUCCCUUAAUCUUUGGGCACUAUCCUCUCUCAAUGCAGAGUCUUGUAGGCGACAGACUGCCCCAGUUUUCAACAGAGAUGUCAAAAUUAUUAGUCGGUUCACUGGAUUUUGUAGGAAUAAAUCACUACACAUCAUUAUAUGCUAAGAACGACAGAAUCAAAAUAAGAAAGCUUAUUUUGAGCGAUGCUUCAAGUGAUGCUAAUGUUAUCACAACUCGUAAGUUUUGAAUACAGAACAAUAAUUUUUUAUUUAUUUUAGAUGGUAUGACUAAUUACUCUAACGUGUACGUUAUCACAGCUUUUAGGCAUGGAAAACUAAUUGGAGAAAGAGUAUGUUAAAACAACUGCAAUUUUUCAUUUUCAAGAACCAUUUUUCUUAUUUUCAGACACUGAAUUGUGCUAGCUAUACAAUCUUCAGGCGGCAUCCCGCUGGUUGCACAUAGUACCAUGGGGUAUCCGCAAGUUAAUGAAACAUGUUAAGGAAAAAUAUGGAAACCCACUAGUUAUUAUAACAGAAAAUGGUGAGUCUGACCUUCAGUGGAAGGAUUGUGUUACAAAAUGUCGUAGAGAUCUUUAAAGAUCAGAUAAUGCAUUUGUAGGUAUGGAUGAUCCGAACAGACAUUUUGUGAGCUUAGACAAAGCACUGCAAGAUGAUAAGAGGAUACGCUACCAUGAUGACUAUCUCUCAAACUUACUUUCUGCAAUAAGGCAAGAUUUCAGCUUCAGCUUAAACUUACCUUCUACAGGAACUUCAAAGUCUAUAUAAACUUAAGUGCUUCUUCAUAAGCGAACUUUUCUUUGAUUGAAUAAAUGCAGGGAGGAUGGAUGCAAUGUCGGUGGUUACUUCGUAUGGUCGCUGCUCGAUAACUGGGAAUGGAACUCGGGAUACACUGUCCGGUUCGGCCUCUAUUAUAUUGACUAUAGAAACAACCUCACAAGAAUACCAAAAGCUUCAGCUCGAUGGUUUAAACAAGUUCUGCAGAAAACAUAUAAGUGAUAUCAAACAGCUUCUUCAUCGGAAUGUUUUCAUAUUUUUAUUAUACCAACAUUGUAAAUUGUUGCACACUAUCUCCACAAAAUUCAUGAGAUGGAUGACCCUUCUCUAUUGUUAUUAGAAAAUGAGCAUUUGUUCGAGAACUCUAAUUCCGACACCUUGUGUAUUGAAAGUGGCUCAAUUUGUAAGCAAAAUUAGAUUUUUCGACCUCCGAAGAACAAAAUCUUCAACAUCUACAGUUCGCACACAGGAUUGAGAUAUUUCCGCAACUCGUUGUUUCAAAAAAUUCUAAGAAAUAAAAUACUGAAUAGGAAUUCAAAGAUCUCCCCGUAAUUCACCAAAUCAAACAGUUUCUGUGCUCUUUAGCAACAAAAUAACAAUACUAACAUCGUACGAAACAGAUCAAAACUAGAUAUAAAGAAAACUCUUAAUCAUACGAACGAUUUUCAUAAAAAUUGCAUGAUAGAUCGAUAAGAAUCGAAUUAAUGAGAAAAAUUAGAAGAUGAAGUACCCGUAGAUGAUGAUAAUCCCUUCUUUCGAUGCUCCUCUGCUAAUUCCGCAGCACAUUUACCUCGAUCCCUCUGCGAUGCUUUGGUAUUCCACUCUAAAUAAUCGCAAACUUGCUACGAACUCCAGGGUUUCAACUCCGCUGCUUGGGGCCUCUGGAGAAACGCCUCCUCUCGUCGACGUUGUACUACGAAGCCGGUGGCGAAAUAUGUCCGAUUGCGGAGAUAUUUUAGAAGUCGGCGACGAAACAUCCAACAUUGCAGCCUUCGGUAACAGAUCACUGCAGGGAUAGCGCAUCAGAGAUCAAGCAAAACAAGCGUAUCAUAAAU
rnacentral:lncRNA from 1 species